rnacentral:rRNA from 1 species
CGGCGGACGGGUGAGUAACGCGUGGGCAACCUGCCUUACACAGGGGGAUAACAGUUAGAAAUGACUGCUAAUACCGCAUAAGACCGCAGUACCGCAUGGUACAGCGGUAAAAACUCCGGUGGUGUAAGAUGGGCCCGCGUCUGAUUAGGUAGUUGGCGGGGUAACGGGCCCACCAAGCCGACGAUCAGUAGCCGACCUGAGAGGGUGACCGGCCACAUUGGGACUGAGACACGGCCCAGACUCCUACGGAAGGCAGCAG